rnacentral:tRNA from 1 species
GCGGUAGUAGCUCAGUUGGUAGAGCAUUAGCUUCCCAAGCUA